AGUCACUGACAUUAGAUACCCCCGUAGUCCCAGCCGUAAACAAUGUGCGUUAGGUGUGUCGGUAACCACGUGUUACUGAUGCGCCGAAGAGAAAUCGUGAAACGCACCACCUGGGAAGUACGGUCGCAUGGCUGAAACUUAAAGGAAUUGGCGGGGAGCACCACAACAGGUGGAGCCUGCGGUUUAAUUGGAUUCAACGCCGGACAUCUCACCGGAUAAGACAGCUGAAUGAUUGUCAAUCUGAAGGUUUUACAUGACUAGCUG
rnacentral:rRNA from 1 species